rnacentral:rRNA from 1 species
GACGAACGCUGGCGGCGUGCUUAACACAUGCAAGUCGAACGAUGAAGCUGGAGCUUGCUCCAGUGGAUUAGUGGCGAACGGGUGAGUAACACGUGAGCAAUCUGCCCUCGACUCUGGGAUAACUGCGGGAAACUGUAGCUAAUACCGGAUACGACACCUUGGGGCAUCCCAGGGUGUGGAAAGAAUUUCGGUCAAGGAUGAGCUCGCGGCCUAUCAGCUAGUUGGUGAGGUAAUGGCUCACCAAGGCGACGACGGGUAGCCGGCCUGAGAGGGUGACCGGCCACACUGGAACUGAGACACGGUCCAGACUCCUACGGGAGGCAGCAGUGGGGAAUAUUGCACGAUGGGCGAAAGCCUGAUGCAGCAACGCCGCGUGAGGGAUGAAGGCCUUCGGGUUGUAAACCUCUUUUAGCAGGGAAGAAGCGAAAGUGACGGUACCUGCAGAAAAAGCACCGGCUAACUACGUGCCAGCAGCCGCCGUAA